UAGGCAGAAGCCUGUUGGUUUGGGCACAUAGCUGUUAACUAUGUAGUCGUGGGAUCGAAGCCCAUCUGUCUAG
rnacentral:tRNA from 1 species